rnacentral:rRNA from 1 species
GACGAACGCUGGCGGCGUGCUUAACACAUGCAGGUCGAACGGAACGGCCCUGCUUUUGUGGGGUGCUCGAGUGGCGACCGGGUGAGUAACACUUGAGUAACCUGCACUUGACUUUGGGAUAACUUCAGGACACUGGGGCUAAUACCGGCUAGGAGCUCCUGCUGUUUGGUGGGGGUUGGAAAGUUUCGGCGGUUGGGGAUGGACUCGCGGCUUAACAGCUUGUUGGUGGGGUAGUGGCUUACCAUGGCUAUGACAGGUAGCCGGCCUGAGAGGGUGGCCGGCCACGUUGGGAUUGGAAUGAGGCCCGGACUCCUACGGGAGGCAGCAGUGGAGAAUAUUACACAAUGGGCGGAAGCCAAAUGUAGUACAGCCGCGCGCGGUAUGACGGCAUUCGGGUUGUGUACCAAUUUCGCCUGAGACGAGGCGUUAGUGACGGUAAUGGGUGAAGAAGCACCGGCUAACUACGUG